rnacentral:rRNA from 1 species
UACGGGGGGGGCAAGCGUUGUUCGGAAUUACUGGGCGUAAAGGGCUCGUAGGUGGCCAACUAAGUCAGACGUGAAAUCCCUCGGCUUAACCGGGGGACUGCGUCUGAUACUGGAUGGCUGGAGUAUGGGAGAGGAAUGCGGAAUUCCAGGUGUAGCGGUGAAAUGCGUAGAUAUCUGGAGGAACACCGGUGGCGAAGGCGGCAUUCUGGACCAUUACUGACGCUGAGGAGCGAAAGCCAGGGGAGCAAACGGG